AGUCGAGCGGAGAUGAGGUGCUUGCACCUUAUCUUAGCGGCGGACGGGUGAGUAAUGCUUAGGAAUCUGCCUAUUAGUGGGGGACAACAUUCCGAAAGGAAUGCUAAUACCGCAUACGUCCUACGGGAGAAAGCAGGGGAUCUUCGGACCUUGCGCUAAUAGAUGAGCCUAAGUCGGAUUAGCUAGUUGGUGGGGUAAAGGCCUACCAAGGCGACGAUCUGUAGCGGGUCUGAGAGGAUGAUCCGCCACACUGGGACUGAGACACGGCCCAGACUCCUACGGGAGGCAGCAGUGGGGAAUAUUGGACAAUGGGGGGAACCCUGAUCCAGCCAUGCCGCGUGUGUGAAGAAGGCCUUAUGGUUGUAAAGCACUUUAAGCGAGGAGGAGGCUACUGAGACUAAUACUCUUGGAUAGUGGACGUUACUCGCAGAAUAAGCACCGGCUAACUCUGUGCCAGCAGCCGCGGUAAUACAGAGGGUGCGAGCGUUAAUCGGAUUUACUGGGCGUAAAGCGUGCGUAGGCGGCUUUUUAAGUCGGAUGUGAAAUCUCCGAGCUUAACUUGGGAAUUGCAUUCGAUACUGGGAAGCUAGAGUAUGGGAGAGGAUGGUAGAAUUC
rnacentral:rRNA from 1 species